rnacentral:lncRNA from 1 species
GGACCCCUCAAAUCCAAAUCUAUCCGUUUGGCAGAUCUUUUUUAAGUGUAUUUGGAUUUCAAAUCAUCUUGCUCAAAUCCAUACCCCAUUUUUCUUAAGAAUUUCAAAUAACUAGUCAGGGGUAGUUAUUUGAAAUCACUAGCAAAAAAAAAACCACUCCGUCUCUCUCCUCCCCUCUCCAUCGUCUCCGUUGAUCGUCCUUCGCCUCCGUCCUCCUCACCGGCAAGCAUUAAUGCUGAGAUCCAUCGCCGCGACCAAUGCUGCGUAAGCGUUCACGUCCUCUGUGAUUCACUCCGAUCUCCACCUCCGGUUUGCUACACUUCCCAAUCCCUUCCACGGUCGACGACAUCACAAACCCUCUCUGCAGCAACUGCAAAAUCAGCUCGAAGUCGGACCCAGGGAUUGACGACCCCGACCCGGAGCUAAAGUCGAAGCUGAUGUGCAGACUGUUCACCGACGUCAAACUCGAGGUUAGGUCGAUUGUCGGAGGCGCGUCUCACGGCGUC